UACAGAGGUCCCAAGCGUUGUUCGGAUUCACUGGGCGUAAAGGGUGCGUAGGCGGUUGGGUAAGUCUGACGUGAAAUCUCCGGGCCUAACCCGGAAACUGCGUUGGAUACUAUCCGGCUAGAGGAAUGGAGGGGAGACUGGAAUACUUGGUGUAGCAGUGAAAUGCGUAGAUAUCAAGUGGAACACCAGUGGCGAAGGCGAGUCUCUGGACAUUUCCUGACGCUGAGGCACGAAAGCCAGGGGGGCAAACGGG
rnacentral:rRNA from 1 species